rnacentral:rRNA from 1 species
UACGUAGGGUGCGAGCGUUGUCCGGAAUUAUUGGGCGUAAAGAGCUCGUAGGCGGUCUGUUACGUCUGCUGUGAAAACCCAGGGCUUAACCCUGGGCUUGCAGUGGAUACGGGCAGACUAGAGGCAGGUAGGGGAGAAUGGAAUUCCCGGUGUAGCGGUGAAAUGCGCAGAUAUCGGGAGGAACACCGGUGGCGAAGGCGGUUCUCUGGGCCGUAACUGACGCUGAGGAGCGAAAGCAUGGGGAGCGAACAGG